AGACUCCAGAUGAAUCCUGUGAUAACUGAUAGAUCCAUGAGAGUAAUCGAGUCCGCCUUGGAGUCAAUCUGAGCAUGUCCACGGUGAGCUGCUUUGCAUCAGCAGCACCAUGCUCCAGUGCUCUGGGAGAGUUUAUAGUCCUGACAGUUGAACACUGCAUGACUGACAGCUGGCCUUCAUCACAACAGACGCCACAGAAAUCCUCUUCAUCAAAAACAUGACUUUGAUCUGCGUCCUCAUCUGGACUCUCCUCUGCUUGACUCAAGGGUCUGCUGGACAAAACGUUGUGGUGACUCAGUCAGCAUCCAAAUCUGUGCAGCUUGGUCAGACUGUAAACAUCAACUGUAAAGUCAGUACACAAGUAGCUCAGUAUUCUGGUUCACAAUACUACCUGACCUGGUACCAUCAGAAAACUGGAGAAGCUCCCAAAGCUCUGAUCUACAGAACAUCAGACAGACUUUCAGGAAUUUCCUCCAGACUGAGUGGAAGUGGAGCAGGGAAUGGCCUGGACUUCACUCUGAGCAUCAGUGCAGUCCAGGCUGAUGAUGCAGGAGUUUAUUACUGUCAGAGUUACCACAGCACUCCGAUGUUCACACAGUGAAAAACACUCGUACAAAAACCUCACAGACGGAAGUGACUGCUGCAGCUGGAAGAUCAUCACUGUAUCAGUGUCUGCAGUGAGGACAC